AGUGAACGCUGGCGGUAGGCCUAACACAUGCAAGUCGAACGGCAGCACAGUAAGAGCUUGCUCUUACGGGUGGCGAGUGGCGGACGGGUGAGGAAUACAUCGGAAUCUACUUUUUCGUGGGGGAUAACGUAGGGAAACUUACGCUAAUACCGCAUACGACCUACGGGUGAAAGCAGGGGAUCUUCGGACCUUGCGCGAUUGAAUGAGCCGAUGUCGGAUUAGCUAGUUGGCGGGGUGAAGGCCCACCAGGGCGACGAUCCGUAGCUGGUCUGAGAGGAUGAUCAGCCACACUGGAACUGAGACACGGUCCAGACUCCUACGGGAGGCGGCAGUGGGGAAUAUUGGACAAUGGGCGCAAGCCUGAUCCAGCCAUACCGCGUGGGUGAAGAAGGCCUUCGGGUUGUAAAGCCCUUUUGUUGGGAAAGAAAAGCAGCAGGUUAAUACCCCGCUGUUCUGACGGUACCCAAAGAAUAAGCACCGGCUAACUUCGUG
rnacentral:rRNA from 1 species